rnacentral:lncRNA from 13 species
CAAAGAGGCAGUGUGACCAGGCCAUUUUGAGCCCUACAUUUCAACAAGGGUCCAUCUCUAAGCUUCUCCCAGAAAAUGAUAACCAAUUGCAGGCUUAAAGAUGCCAGAGCCAUUGGCAUUGCUUUAUGAUACCAGCAAAUUCAGUGUAGAGUCAAAUAUCUCUGGAUGAAAUGUACUUUCCUGAGUCUACCAGAAGCAACUUGAGGGUCAUCUCAGAUUCUAUGGGAUCCUUGCUGCUGCUGCCACUUCAAUGGACAGAGUAAAGCAAGAGCUGAUUGUAAGAAGGAGUUACCAUUCCCCCCACCCAUCACCAGAUCCCUGGGACUGUGCUAUGUGUACAGAGUCUCUCCUAUUGUCCAGGCUGGAAUGCAAUGAUGUGAUCUUGGUCACUGCAACCUCUGCCUCCGGGGCUCUGACAAUUCUCCUGUCUCAGCCUCCCGAGUAGCUGGGACUACAGUUUUUCAUGGACACUUCCCUCAAUUAACUGCUUCCACAUCUAACCCUGCUUUGGGGUCUACUUCUCAGAGGAUCCUAAUACAGAAGCCAAACAUCUGUGCCUUCUGCUGGCAUCUGAGAGCAAGAUGGCCAUGUUCCAGGUUCAGAUCCUGCUUUUGUGGCCUAGAGCAGGAAUCCGCCAGUAAUAACCCAUGGGCCAAGUCUGGCUUUGGUGUCUAUUUUUGUAAAUAAAGUUUUAUCAAAACACA